rnacentral:rRNA from 1 species
CACCUGUUUAACAAAAACAUUGUAUUAAGUUUAAUUUAAUAUAGGAUCUGCUCAAUGAUUUAUUAAAUAGCUGCAGUAUUUUGACUGUGCAAAGGUAGCAUAGUAAUUAGUCUUUUAAUUGAGGACUUGUAUGAAAGAUUUGAUGAGAAAUAGACUUUAUUAUUUAUAUAAUUAAAAUUUUAUUUUUAAGUAAAAAAGCUUAAAUUAUUUAAAGGGACGAUAAGACCCUAUAAAACUUUAUAAAUUUAAUCUUAAUUUUUUUGGAUUUAUAAGUAUUUUAUUAUAAAAAUUUAUUUUAUUGGGGUGAUAAAAAAAAUUAAUAAACUUUUUUUAAAUUUAACAUUAUUUAGUGAAUUUUUGAAUUAAAAUUUUUAAUUAAAGGAAAAAGUUACUUUAGGGAUAACAGCGUAA